AGUGGCGGACGGGUGAGUAAUGUCUGGGGAUCUGCCCGAUAGAGGGGGAUAACCACUGGAAACGGUGGCUAAUACCGCAUAACGUCGCAAGACCAAAGAGGGGGACCUUCGGGCCUCUCACUAUCGGAUGAACCCAGAUGGGAUUAGCUAGUAGGCGGGGUAAUGGCCCACCUAGGCGACGAUCCCUAGCUGGUCUGAGAGGAUGACCAGCCACACUGGAACUGAGACACGGUCCAGACUCCUACGGGAGGCAGCAGUGGGGAAUAUUGCACAAUGGGCGCAAGCCUGAUGCAGCCAUGCCGCGUGUAUGAAGAAGGCCUUCGGGUUGUAAAGUACUUUCAGCGGGGAGGAAGGCGAUGGGGUUAAUAACCNUGUCGAUUGACGUUACCCGCAGAAGAAGCACCGGCUAACUCCGUGCCAGCAGCCGCGGUAAUACGGAGGGUGCAAGCGUUAAUCGGAAUUACUGGGCGUAAAGCGCACGCAGGCGGUCUGUUAAGUCAGAUGUGAAAUCCCCGGGCUUAACCUGGGAACUGC
rnacentral:rRNA from 1 species